rnacentral:tRNA from 2 species
AUUAAGGUGGCAGAGCUGGCAAUUGCAUAAAACUUAAACCUUUAUAACCAGAGGUUCAAAUCCUCUCCUUAAUA